UAGCCAUGAUGUGGGCAAGAGUUUAACGUAUUUUUAAAACGUUCCCAGCACUGAUAAAAUGUUUCUUUUUCUUUUUGAGAAAAAUUCAUGAUUUGUCUUUUCUAAGAAU